rnacentral:piRNA from 2 species
UAUUUAUUGAGCACCUACGAUGUGCCAGGCA